rnacentral:rRNA from 1 species
UACGUAGGGUGCGAGCGUUAAUCGGAAUUACUGGGCGUAAAGCGUGCGUAGACGGUUGCGUAAGUCAGAUGUGAAAGCCCCGGGCUCAACCUGGGAAUUGCAUUUGAGACUGCGUAGCUAGGGUGCGGAAGAGGGAAGCGGAAUUUCCGGUGUAGCGGUGAAAUGCGUAGAUAUCGUAAGGAAGACCAGUGGCGAAGGCGGCAUCCUGGACCGGCAUUGACGCUGAGGCGCGAAAGCCAGGGGAGCAAACGGG